rnacentral:rRNA from 1 species
UACGGGGGGGGCAAGCGUUGUUCGGAAUUACUGGGCGUAAAGGGCUCGUAGGUGGCCAACUAAGUCAGACGUGAAAUCCCCAGGCUCAACCUGGGAACUGCGUCUGAUACUGGAUGGCUUGAAUCCGGGAGAGGGAUGCAGAAUUCCAGGUGUAGCGGUGAAAUGCGUAGAUAUCUGGAGGAAUACCGGUGGCGAAGGCGGCAUCCUGGACCGGCAUUGACGCUGAGGAGCGAAAGCCAGGGGAGCAAACGGGG